GCUCCCGUGGUCUAGUUGGUUUAGGACGCUGGACUCUCAAUCCAGAGGUCGCCGGUUCGAAUCCGGUCGGGAGUAC
rnacentral:tRNA from 1 species